AACGAACGCUGGCGGCAUGCCUAACACAUGCAAGUCGAACGAGACCUUCGGGUCUAGUGGCGCACGGGUGCGUAACGCGUGGGAAUCUGCCCUUUGGUUCGGAAUAACAGUUGGAAACGACUGCUAAUACCGGAUGAUGACGAAAGUCCAAAGAUUUAUCGCCAGAGGAUGAGCCCGCGUAGGAUUAGCUAGUUGGUGUGGUAAAGGCGCACCAAGGCGACGAUCCUUAGCUGGUCUGAGAGGAUGAUCAGCCACACUGGGACUGAGACACGGCCCAGACUCCUACGGGAGGCAGCAGCGGGGAAUAUUGGACAAUGGGCGAAAGCCUGAUCCAGCAAUGCCGCGUGAGUGAUGAAGGCCUUAGGGUUGUAAAGCUCUUUUACCCGGGAUGAUAAUGACAGUACCGGGAGAAUAAGCUCCGGCUAACUCCGUGCCAGCAGCCGCCGUAA
rnacentral:rRNA from 1 species